rnacentral:rRNA from 1 species
GAUGAACGCUGGCGGCGUGCCUAAUACAUGCAAGUCGAGCGAACAGACGAGGAGCUUACUCCUCUGACGUUAGCGGCGGACGGGUGAGUAACACGUGGAUAACCUACCUAUAAGACUGGGAUAACUUCGGGAAACCGGAGCUAAUACCGGAUAAUAUUUUGAACCGCAUGGUUCAAUAGUGAAAGACGGUUUUGCUGUCACUUAUAGAUGGAUCCGCGCCGCAUUAGCUAGUUGGUAAGGUAACGGCUUACCAAGGCAACGAUGCGUAGCCGACCUGAGAGGGUGAUCGGCCACACUGGAACUGAGACACGGUCCAGACUCCUACGGGAGGCAGCAGUAGGGAAUCUUCCGCAAUGGGCGAAAGCCUGACGGAGCAACGCCGCGUGAGUGAUGAAGGUCUUCGGAUCGUAAAACUCUGUUAUUAGGGAAGAACAAAUGUGUAAGUAACUAUGCACGUCUUGACGGUACCUAAUCAGAAAGCCACGGCUAACUACGUGCCAGCAGCCGCGGUAAUACGUAGGUGGCAAGCGUUAUCCGGAAUUAUUGGGCGUAAAGCGCGCGUAGGCGGUUUUUUAAGUCUGAUGUGAAAGCCCACGGCUCAACCGUGGAGGGUCAUUGGAAACUGGAAAACUUGAGUGCAGAAGAGGAAAGUGGAAUUCCAUGUGUAGCGGUGAAAUGCGCAGAGAUAUGGAGGAACACCAGUGGCGAAGGCGACUUUCUGGUCUGUAACUGACGCUGAUGUGCGAAAGCGUGGGGAUCAAACAGGAUUAGAUACCCUGGUAGUCCACGCCGUAAACGAUGAGUGCUAAGUGUUAGGGGGUUUCCGCCCCUUAGUGCUGCAGCUAACGCAUUAAGCACUCCGCCUGGGGAGUACGACCGCAAGGUUGAAACUCAAAGGAAUUGACGGGGACCCGCACAAGCGGUGGAGCAUGUGGUUUAAUUCGAAGCAACGCGAAGAACCUUACCAAAUCUUGACAUCCUCUGACCCCUCUAGAGAUAGAGUUUUCCCCUUCGGGGGACAGAGUGACAGGUGGUGCAUGGUUGUCGUCAGCUCGUGUCGUGAGAUGUUGGGUUAAGUCCCGCAACGAGCGCAACCCUUAAGCUUAGUUGCCAUCAUUAAGUUGGGCACUCUAAGUUGACUGCCGGUGACAAACCGGAGGAAGGUGGGGAUGACGUCAAAUCAUCAUGCCCCUUAUGAUUUGGGCUACACACGUGCUACAAUGGACAAUACAAAGGGCAGCGAAACCGCGAGGUCAAGCAAAUCCCAUAAAGUUGUUCUCAGUUCGGAUUGUAGUCUGCAACUCGACUAUAUGAAGCUGGAAUCGCUAGUAAUCGUAGAUCAGCAUGCUACGGUGAAUACGUUCCCGGGUCU